UACGGGGGGGGCAAGCGUUGUUCGGAAUUACUGGGCGUAAAGGGCUCGUAGGUGGCCAACUAAGUCAGACGUGAAAUCCCUCGGCUUAACCGGGGAACUGCGUCUGAUACUGGAUGGCUUGAGUUCGGGAGAGGGAUGCGGAAUUCCGGGUGUAGCGGUGAAAUGCGUAGAUAUCUGGAGGAACACCGGUGGCGAAGGCGGCAUCCUGGACCGACACUGACACUGAGGAGCGAAAGCCAGGGGAGCAAACGGG
rnacentral:rRNA from 1 species